UAUGUGUCAUGUUUGGCUGCCAUUUGGAUUUUGAUAAGAACUCAUACAACCACACCAAGCUUGGCUUAAAAACUGAGAUACCAAGCUUGGCUGCCACAUCAUCUUUUUAAAUUUAAAAUUCACGCCAACAUGAAACAAAUUCAGAAUACAAACCAUUCAUAUAUGAAGCGACUCCAUGAAGCACGAAUCCACAUAAUCAAAUUGUAACUGCCAUUUUCAGAUCCACAAAGUACAAACGCACAUCCGACGCAAGCAAAACAAAAGUUUGAAGCUUCAAAGCUUAUAUUAAGCAAAGUCAAGGAAGAGACUUGAACAUGAUGCCAUAGACUUCCAACAUUCAUCUUCUAGCUCAGAAAGAAUCGUCGAUGCCCGCUUUCUUAUCUUCAUCUUGUAACCUACUGAACUAGCAAAUUUAACAGUGGUGCAUCAGAUUGACAUCAAUGAAAGAUGAUGCGUGCUCAUCUAAGAAAAAAAAUAUUUCUCAUCAAGAAAAUUUAUGGUAAUGCAUUCCAUCGAAAAAUGGUAUAUAAUGAUCAUCAAGAAAGGUAAUGCAUGUAGGUUGGUACCAAUCUCAAUUUUUCAACACUAGAAAAUGAUAAAGAAUCACUAGUGUGCCAUUUUAACAGUGUGCAUGGGUUGACAUUACAUAUUAAGGAAUGACAUGUCAUGAAAAAAAAUUAAAGGCUACUAUUGUGCGGAUAGGGAACUUGCAGAUUGAAAGACAUUUGUACAUUCAAGGCACUAUGUAGUAGUACAAAUUAAUCAAACGUCUCGUUUGGUCCAGUUAUGUCAUUGCAAAUCAAACGUCUUGUCUUGAUUGAUACUAACCUGCUAUAAAUAUUUGUUCUAAUCUGCAAGGUUGUUACUACAAAUUAAUAACCCACCUAACUUCGUAUCAGAAGAAGAAGAAGAAGAAGAAGAAGAAAAGGUUAUACUGUUGAGUCAUGAAACAAACAUCAUGUUUUGACGGGAUCUACAUUUGACAAAGCUCUGCAAGUGCAAACACACCAGCAGUACACUAGAACCGUUGUUGAUGAUGUACACAUGACAAAUAGUAACUUGUUGUAUAACAUGCUAUGAAAAAGUUGGUAGUCAAAAUGUAAAGGUCAGCAAACAUCGAUUUAAGCAUUUCAUUUCACUAGCCAAGAUUAUGAAGUUUUAAACUGAGAAUGCAUGCACACAAAAUUCGAGUGUUCUAGGUCAUGUACAUGCUUUGCUCUAACUGAAACAUACUCAAGGAGAUAUAUGAAGGUAAGAAAUCUAUCCGAGCAACAUACCUUCAUUGGUUGAUUUGCUUGAGGAUCCAUUUCUUCUUCAUCCUUUCACCAUAAGGACUCUCUCUCUCUCUCUCUCUCCACGGGUACAAACAAAGGUGAGGAGCUUUUGCCCUUGUCGCACAAACGCAAAUAUACUAGCUCGAUGAAAUGAACCUUGUUUAGUUUACUGAUCUGAUCUCCAAUGGUGUUUUCGUAUGAAUAAAGUGCAGAUAAAUGUCAACAAAGAUAGCCAGGGAUCGAUCCUACAACUCAUUUGUCAUUUAACCACACAUAAGUGAACGACAAACUUCAGCUUGAGAUCCUCUAAUGUUAUUGCACAAUUAGCUGGAACACGAGCAGAACAAUCAGCUAGACCUAUAUUUAACUCUCGUGGAUAAAACAAAAAAAUCAGUAAGAUCAAGUCACUGUUUUGUAACAAGAAGCUUGCGUUCUUACACUAGUGUAGAACUAUGGAAACUAGACUGAGAAGCCCUUUAACUAUCACAAAAUAAUAUGCAUGCAUGCAUCUUGAAUUGAUUGAGUUGUUCCCUGACAAAACAUGAGACCGAUUUGUAAUACUUAGAAAACUAUUUCUCUCAACUCUCAAGUAGUGUUUCCCAUUCCCUCCUACCUCAUGAGCAUCCAUCAGUGACAGUUUAAUUAAAUCAGCAAGACAUGGCGACCACCAGUUAUCUUCUAUCAGCACGGCAAUGGAAUUGAAACAACAAGACACCACAACAUCCAUCUAUGGUCCAAAGAAAUAACACUAUCUUCUCAUUGUAAUAGCAACUAGUAUUCUUCUAUCACCAAUGAGUCGGUGAUUACCAGACCAGACUAGUUUGGUACGAGGUAGGAUAGAACAAAGACACCACGGAGGGGGAGGGGAGCUGACCGAUCAUGGGCUGGUGGAGGAGUCGUCAAGAAGUCUCACCACUAUCCAGGUCCGGUGGCUAGAGAGAGGUGUGCUGCUAAACAGUGGGUUGGGGUUAGGGUUAGGAUUCAAGCAGAAAAGAUGCAUCAGAGAAGGGGAGAAGAAAGGUGGGAGGGACUUACCAGAGCUGAGAUCUCGACGACGAUGCGGUCACCGGAGGUGACACGACAUUGAACGAGGGAAGAUGCGUCGUGGAAUCUAGAGUAGAGAG
rnacentral:lncRNA from 1 species